rnacentral:rRNA from 1 species
UGGCCUACGGGAGGCAGCAGUGGGAAAUAUUGCACAAUGGGGGAAACCCUGAUGCAGCGACGCCGCGUGAGUGAAGAAGCGUUUCGGCGCGUAAAGCUCUGUCAGCGGGGAAGAAACACGGUUCGCGAGAGCCGCGGACGGUACCCGACCAAGAAGCCCCGGCUAACUACGUGCCAGCAGCCGCGGUAAUACGUAGGUGGCAAGCGUUGUCCGGAUUUACUGGGUGUAAAGGGCGUGCAGCCGGAGAGACAAGUCAGAUGUGAAAUCCACGGGCUCAACCCGUGAACUGCAUUUGAAACUGUUUC